CUUUAAGUUUUGUUACAAGAAGAAACUAAUAAUGCCCAGUUCGUUGAAGACGUUGUGCACGCCGUGGUGUCGAAAUGUGGCGUUGCGGCAAAUCUUGCCCGUACUAUUUUCACAAACAAAACGUGCAGAUGAGAGCAAAAUGCAUCGCACACGACAAAAUAAAAAGAUCAAACGAAAAAUUCGCGAGAAUAGAGGCCUCUUCCGACGACAGAAACUGACACAACUAUAGUGUACCUUACAUCCUGAAGAACCAAAAUUCGCGUCGCGGAAAUUUGUCCUAGGUUAAAAGUGGCGGCAGUGAAGAUCGGUUGAGGACUUGAGGUUGAGCCAGUAGGCAGAUUUCCCACACGAGCUAAUGCAUUGGUACCAACGAGAUGGGGAUAUGCCAAGGUCUCGGUUACUCAAGAGCAUCCGUUGGACUAAUGUUGGACACCAGAAACAUACACUAGCGCCACAAGAAAGCUGAUGGCAGUGUUUUCAUAAAGGUAAAUAAUGGUACAUUUAAGUUUGAAAAAGGUUCAGAGAAAAAUAUAAAAAAAGCAGUUUUUAUUACAGCAUUGUAGGUUUAGAUAAAGUUCUAAAAAUAAUUUGAAGCGUUGUUGCAACAUAUUCAUUGACGGGAAAGCCUGCUCCAGCGUUCCCGUCCAGGAGAGCUAAGAAGAAGCUAAAUGCCCGGUUUGUUGAAGACAUUGUGCUCACAGUGGUAUCGAAAUGUUGCGUUGCGGCAAAUCGGUUAAAAUGUUAUUUAUUUGGAACCGGCAAAUGAAGACCU